CUCCGCCGCGCCGCCGCUGUCCGCCUCUCCGCCGCUGUCCGCCUCUCCGCCGCUGUCCGCCUCUCCGCCACGCCGGCGCUGUGUGCCUUUGCGAGGGCGGAGCUGAGUUCUCCUUUGCACAGACUUCGGAGAUACAGCGAAGGCAGAGCAAUGUUCUCCUCAGCACAGACCCGGGCGGGCGGGCCGGUGGCACCGCGAGGGCGGAGCUGCGUUCUGCUCUGCACAGACCUUGGGGGCACUGCCUCGCUUUGGGACACCUCGGGGCCGCAUCGACGGUGAAUAAAAUCCUUCCUGUUUGCAGCCCUGUUUGUGGUUGGUGGCAGCGAUGGACACUGCAGCCAGCCAGAGCGUAGAAAGGCGUUGGGUGAAAGAAGAUGGCCAUGGAGACAGACAGCAGCAUGGUCAGAGUGGUAGGAGCCGGCCAUCAGCGAGAGCUGCUCCAUGCCUGGCUGCUGGAUGCUAGAGCCUGCGGCCCACUGGCUUGCCUCACUGUGGUUGCUGGUGGUGGUGACAGAGACUGCAGCAUGAACAGAGUGGUAGGACAGGGGCUAUCCAGGGCUGCACCUUUCGCAGUGUGGGGCUUUUCUGGCUUUGCCUGCCCAGCUGCUCCGUGCCAGGAGGAGGAGGAGACACCUUGAGCCUGCGACACCACGGCUUGCCUCGCUGCGGGUGGGUGGCAGUGACGGAGAUUGCAGUGCGCCAGAGCGGUAGGAGAGCGGCCGCACUAGGAGGGCAGGUGGCUGCAGCCAGGGUUGGGGUUCAGGCUUACAGCGAUGGACGGGCUGCAGCAGUGGCCAGGUGGUAGGAGCCUUGUAGGGAGGGCUGGUGCAUUGGCAAUGGGCCUGGCUUUGCCCUGCGCCUGCCAUGGAUCUGGCCCUGUACUGCCCUGCCUUGCCCUAUACCUGCUCUACUGUUACCUGGACUCUCGGCCCUGUCCUGCUCUGCUCCCAUCCUGACCCUGUCUUGGCCCUGUGCUACCCUGUCCCUGCCCUGGUCUUGCCCUGGCACUGGCCCUGCCCUGAACCUGCACUGGCCUGACCUUGGCUCUGGCCCUGGCUCUGGCCCUGCCCCUUGUCCUGACCCUGGUCCUGUCAUGGCACUGGCCCUGCCAAUGGUCAUGGUCCUGCUCCUGUUCUGGCCCUGACCUGGCCUUGGACAUGUCCUGGCCCUGCUUUGGCCCAUCCCUGCCCUGGCCCCACCAUGGGCCUGCCUGUUCUGCCCUCUCCUGGUGCUGACCUUGCCCUGUCAUGGCCCAGUGGUGCCAUUGUCCUGCCUUACCCUGCGCUGGUUGUGCCUUGGCCCCGCUUGGUGCUGGCCGCUCCCUGGACCUGCCCUGGACCUGCCCUGACCCUGCCUUGGCUUUUGCCCUGCCCUCACUAUGGCCUGGCCCUGGCCCUAGCCCUGGUCCUGCCAU
rnacentral:lncRNA from 1 species